rnacentral:lncRNA from 1 species
ACCCAUAACCCGACUCAUUUCCUUACCUAAAAUUUUAGCCUAGACCUAAAACACAACAUUUCUUCUUCAGCCGCAAUCCAAACAACCAUCCCCCUCUCUUCAUCUUCCUCCACACACACCCCUCCCAAACCCUAAACCUUGAACCAAACACCACCCUCCAUCACCAUCGUCCUCAACAUCCAGCUUGUCCGAACAGCCAUGGCCGUCACCAACGUUGCUGCUUGCCAUCGUCACCAACAUCGCUGCCUGCCACAUCACCAACAUCAAUGCCUGCUUCAUCGUCGCCGCUGCCAUGGCCGGUUUCAUCCAGCGUUCGUCGUCUUCGGCCAUAGCCGUUGGCAUGGAUGGCCAUUGUUGUCGUUCUUCUUUUUCAUCCUUGAAGAAGAAAACGAAACGCUGAUAAGUUGCACGCCAGAAACAAGCUUUCCGUCGAACCUGGUUAAGCAGCAACGAGCAGCUCCCUAGCUUCUGCUUCGCGUCAUCUCUCCCAUCGUGGUCCAGUUCAUGGCCUAGUUCGUCGAGGUCAUUCCUCGUCAACUCCAGGUUUGUUCGUUGAUUAUUAGUUCCGUUCGAGUUAAAAAAUAAGCGGUCGAGGUCGUUGUUGAGGUUUUGGGCAGAUUCGAGUUAUUUUGGGUUUCAAAUUUUCCGGGCAGAUUUGUUUCCAUUCGAAUUCGUCGUGGUUUCGAUCCGGUUAGUUGGUUUAAGUUUUAUUUUUGUCCGUAUUUUAUUUGAUAUUUUCGAACUUAAAAUUAGUAUAUGUUUGAUUAUUUUCUUGCUCGUUGGUUGUCAUUUUCUUGUUUAUUUCUUCAGUUGGUUCUUAUUUAUUUAAAAGAAAUUAGUUUUAAUAUAGAAAUGUGUUAGUUUAAUAAAUCUUUCAUCUUAGUUGCAAUAUUGUUAGAUUUAAUUUGAAGUUUAAUUGAUUAUUGAGUUUAGUGAAUUGAAUCUGUUUUUAUUAUUAUGCUUAAGUCUAAAUUUGGACCUUAGUUAGAAAUUUGAAUUUGUUUGUUUGAUCUGUUUAAGUUUAAUUUGAAUUUGAGCUUAGUGAUUUAAAUAUACUUGCUUGUUAUUGUUGAUUGAAUCUUAAAAUAUAUUUGCUGUUAGAAAUGUUAUUCAAUCAAAUAAUUUUGGUUCUUUGUUGUUCAUCAUUUAAUUUGAAUUGUUGGUUGAAUUUGAUUAAGAAUUGGUUAUAGUUGCUAUAUUUUGGUUAAUUGAUUUAGGUGAAUUGAUUAUAGCUGAUGGGGUAGAGUGGUGAUUUCAAUAAUUUUAGGGGUAUUUUUGGAAUUGAAAAUAUAAAGAAUUGUUUAAAAAUAGUGUGGAACAUAAUUAUGUAAAUUAAAAAGAGGGAACAAGACAUGUGGGGAGUAUAAUGAUUAAAGUAAAAAAGAGAGUGGAUUAUGGGGUCCAUGUUUGACUGCUUUUGUUGAUUGGAAAUUAGAAAUACUGGGAUAAUAAUAAAACGUGAGGAAUAAUAAUUAAAGGGUAGAAGAAAUGAGUCUUGUUUUGGGGUAUAUAAUGAGACUCAUUUUGUCACUUAAAAGAGAGAGAAAACAUUUAGACUGAAUUGAGAGAGAAAAAAAAGAUUUCUAUACUAGAGGGAAAUCAAAAUUGCAGAACUUAAGAAUUUAGUCUUGAAAAAAAAAGUGAGGUCUUUUCUUUACUGCUAAAUAUCAGAACUAGUAAUGUUACUACUUCAAUGGUUAUUGCUGGAUUUUCUGUUUGGUUUUAAAAUCUAUUCCUGGGGUCUUCCUGCACUGUUUGUUACUGGUUUACUGCUUUGGUUGCUGAACUUGUUGUUGAUGUGUGUGCUUCUAUUGCUUCCUACUGAUCUUCCUCUUCUUUGUAUUCCAAUACCAGGUAAUCCACUUUGAAUCACUUUGAUGUACGCCUUGAAGAUGAAAUGAGAUGGCAGAAAUUUAAGUAUUUAGUUAUGAUAUAUUUUUAUUUUAGUUAAACAUUAAUUAUAUACUUUUAUGCUAUACAAAUGGUAAAGGUAUGCCUAAUUAAGAUUGUUUCCUAUUAGAUUGCGAAACUAAAAUCCUUAAAAUGGCGUGAAUAUUAGUCAAUACGGCAUUCUUGUUUAAUUUGAGCAAGUUGUUAGAUUAUUGAACUAUAGGAUGUAUGUUUGCAAGAAUCGCAUAACUAAUAGCUUCAUCUUUACUAAUUCUUAUGUUUAAAAUAAAGUAAUUCGGAAUCUUUUUCUUUUCAAGUUAAUUUAAUUGAUAGGUAAAAUCCAAAUUUGAAUUUGCAAAAAUAAGAAUAAAAACAACUUGAGAUGGGUGAAUUUUGAAACUUGUUAGUAAUGAAGAUCCGUGAAUAUUAGAGAAACAUAUUGGUUAAUAGUAGAAUCAGUAAAUUAGACAUAUUUGAAGUAUGAUUCUACGUAGCAAGGCUAAGAGCAUUAAACCAUAGGCGCGAAUUUGAGCAAUACGAGCUAACGUUUAAGUUUAGUAAUUCUUUUUAUAAGCUUUUAGUAAUUAUAGUUAAAUCUAGUUUCAAAUAGUUAUGAAUAAUUAGUUUCAAUAGUUUUUUUUACAAUGCGAGUUUUAAUCUAGCUAUAAUUGAUUUCUUUUGAAUAUUAGUUGUCAAAUUUUAUCUUUUAUUUAUAAUUUCAGAAUUUUAUUUUUAUUUUAUUUUAUAAUUUCAAAUUAUUUAUUUAUUUAUUUCUUUUCCACUAAUAUUUGUCUUAAUCUAGCAAUUAGUGUGUUGCAAUUUUUAUUUUUAAGGUCGUAAUGAAUUAGGAUUUUUCUUUCUUUAUUUUAGAAAUAAAUUUAAAUAGAAAUAUAGCCACUUCAGGAUAUCCUUAAAAUAAAGGAGGCGUGCCUCGCCACAGUACAUUAUAAAUUGCGUGGCCCUCAAAUAAAGGGUUAAAAAUACUUAGAAAAUCGGGAAGGGUCGCUUAGCGAAUUUGCAUGGCCUUUUCCCAAAAUAAGAACACGUUAGUCUCUUUAGGACGCGCCUAAUUAAUCUUACCAUCCUAAAUUCGGGUGUGCAUUUAUGCGAUCCAAAUUCAAAUCACGACAGAGUCGAAACAUGCCGACGACAACGCGUACACUGACGUGGUUUGAGAUAUGUUUUCACAAUGUUGCAAUUCUCUAUAAAAUAAUUAAACAAUAAUAAUUUGAAUAAAAGAGGUUAAAGUUAAAAUUGGCACAUAAGUUACAAGUUGUAAUAAAAUCGGAUAAAUAAGCUAAAUAUGACAGUUGAGCGACCGUGCUAGAACCACGGAACUCGGGAAUCCCUAACACCUUCUCCCGGAUUAACAUAAUUCCUUAUCUGGAUUCUGGUGGGCAGACUGUUAAAUAGAGUCAUUCUUUUCCUCGAUUCGGGAUUUAACCGGUGACUUGGGACACUAUAAAUUUCACAAGUAGCGACCUGAAUCUCUAAUAAAUAAUCCCGUUGCAAUUGUUCUUUAAUUAGAAAAACUCAUCUACACCCUUGCGGGGGCGUUAAAAGGAGGUGUGACAGCUCUGGCGACUCUGCUGGGGAACGAACCCAGAAUCUCAGGUUCAGGGUUCAGAAUUCGAGCUUGGAUAAAUUGUUGUAUUUGACUAUAUCUGAUUUUCCUAUAUGCUUUAUGCUGAAUGUGCUAAAUGUUACCGCUUUAAUAUUAUCUGAACUGUAUAUAAACUUUGUCGACACCCUUCUCUCUUUACCUCCGAGGAUGUGCUUACUGGUUGAGACUCCCUAUUCUGUUAGUUUCAUACCUUGAAAUAAGAAAGAGGCUCGGACAAGUUACGAAGUCGGAUGACCUUUUGGUUCCCGGUAAGUUGCCCCCUCCUCGACUCGAGUUGUCCGCUCGGGUACACAGUCUAUAACACCGACCCAAGUUUUGAACAUAGAUAACGUGACUUCAUACCGGAUCCCUAGUAGGAACGUUUAUUUGCAUCAUGUUGCAUUUGACUUAGGGGAUUCAACACAGGGGUUGGGUCCGUCUAGGACUAGCAACCUGAAAUGAAAAAGACCAUCCUGAUGCAUUUUAUUUGUUUUCCAUGCACUUAUUUAUUUUGGACCCGCAUGUUGACCGGUUUUUGAAUCUCGUAAAUGUCGGAAUUCGAAAAAAAAUGAGAGAAAUAGCUGUUAGGGAGUUAAUAUUUUGAUAAAAUACGUUGCCUAAGUACUGUCGAAACUCCGCCGAAAUUUUGAAAAUAAAAAAAAUAUUUUUUUAUGUAGUUUGUUUUUUUAAAAGCAAAAGGAAAUGGAAAAAACAUGAGUCUUUUAUUUUGGAAAAAUUGGUUGAAAAAUAGAAAAAUAAUGGUCAUUUUGAUUUGAUUUCAAAAUUAGAAAAUGGAAAACCUUAGAAAAAGUUUUUAAAAUUAGUUUAUUUGGUCGAACUACGCAGGUUUGAUUCUCACCGGGUGUGAGAUACGUAAGCAACCCUCAUCGGGUCCAACCUCCCCUUUGCUCAAAAAAAUAUCAAAGUUUUUAUUUUUCGUCAUAAAGGAGUCGGGUGACGCUGUCUUUUGUCAAAUAGCUACCUUUGGGUCAUGUUUUUUAGAUUUUGGCCAGUUGACCCAUACAACCUUAAAAUCUUCGUCCGCGAAGUGCCGAAAGGUCGUCUUUGCAAAACUUGGCCUUUUAUUUUAAUUUAAAAAAAAGUCAGUGGGCAAGUGAUUGCCGUUAGAAUUGUUAGUCAAAACAAGCCGAGCCAGCUUCAGCAAUGUAUUAAACUGUUCUUGCCGAGAUAGCCUUAGAGUAUCUUUCAGUUGUCGAAAGGCUAUUUUCGUAAAAGAAUGGACCAGUUUGUAGUGUCAUAAAAUAAUCCUCCACAACCUCAAAAUUCAUGUAAAAUUAGGAAGGGGCCACGCUUGUAAUUCUUCUGAUUAGGGUGUGGUAUGUUUUGAUUUUCAAGUAUGUAGGUCAUCUUUUCGUCAAAGUCUAAAAUGGUCAGUUUUUAAACCGUUGUAAUAAUGUUUGUUUUAUUAUGAAAAUUGAAUUUUUUUAAAGAAAAUGUUUUAUUGUUGUUUAUCUUUUAUUGGUCCGAACUACGCACGGUCUGAUUCAUGCGGGGUCAUGAUACGUAAGCAACUCCACAAGAUUCGGCCACAAUAAAAAAAUUAAAAAAAGUGGAAAUGAAAUAAACAAAAGAUGUUGUUGAUGACUAUAAAAUAGUCAUAUAUUAUAUACUUAAAAAUAAAUUAUUUUAAAUUAUAUAUAUAUAUAUAUAUAAUAUGUCAAUUAUGUAUAUUUUCUAAUAGUAUUUUGCAGGAAAUAAAAAUAUCAUGAUAAAAAAAAUAAAGGAAUAAAAAAGAAGCACGAGGCAUCAUAGCAAAAGAAGCACGAGGCAUCGUGGCAAAAAAAGCACAAGGCAUCAUGAUAAAAGAAGCAUGAUGCAACAUGGCACCUUUUGAUAUUUGAUUUCUAUAAAUAGUAUAUCAUAUUUGUGUUGAAGAGAGAAGAUCAUACGUACCUAACAAAAUAACUUUUCUUUAGAUUUAGUCUUUACUUCUUUAUUUAUAUAUUUCAUUUUAUCUUGUAGUGUUGAGGGAAUUUUCUAAGAGUGUUGACAUUAUUUUAAGAAUUCCUUUCUUUGUGAGAUUUAAAUACUCCAUAAUGAAGUAAUCUCUUUUGUUGGGAUAUUUGAUGAAGCUCGAUAUCGUUAUAAUAUUAAUCUCAAUUUUACUACAUGCUUGACCUGAAACUUUCUAAUUAUAUUUCUAUAUUGUGCUGGAAUUUUAGUUUUAAUUAAUUAUUAUCAGUUCUAUCUAUUUAUUCUCCAAAGUUAAUUGUAUGUCAAUUUUGUAAUUCUCACAAAGCAAAAUUUAUAUACGAUAUCUAUUGGGUAAAAUAAUAGAGUGAGAGUAAUUCUUUUUAAGCUAUCAUUCCAAGUCUGUAGUCUUGCUUACUUCCAUUCUAAUUCUCGCGGAGGAGUUGUAGUUGGCAAGAUUAUUGAUUUUUAGUAAAAAGUAAUUGCAAGAGGUUUUUACUAUCUUAUUGCACAAUUCAGACAAGAAAAUUAUUUCAGUUUAAUCGUCACGAGUCAUAUAUCAAUUGAUUUACAUAUUUCUCAUGGAGUGUUAUUAAUUGAUUAUUUCUUGGUGAGCAAAUAUAAUUGUAUUAGCAAUAAACAGUCUAAGAGAAAUACAUGUAGAACCUAAGAUUUUAUUAUUAUCACGCUAUCGAGUGAAUUCAAUNNNNNNNNNNNNNNNNNNNNNNNNNNNNNNNNNNNNNNNNNNNNNNNNNNNNNNNNNNNNNNNNNNNNNNNNNNNNNNNNNNNNNNNNNNNNNNNNNNNNNNNNNNNNNNNNNNNNNUUAUUUUGUUUCAACUUAAGCAAUUUAGAUCUUCAACAAACAAAACUUCAUCAAUUUGGUUCUCUCAAAUAGUAGUAAGAAUAUUAUAAGUUUGUAUCUAGAUUUCCAAUCUCUGUGGGACGAUAUCUUAAACUAUAUUAGAAUUUGACUAAGCAGGAAAAUCUUAUACACACUGGCCUCGUCAAAUUUUUGGCGCCGUUGUCGGGGAUUGGCAUAAGUCUACUUCAAAUUAAAUAUUUUAUUACUAAUUUGAGAAUUUAUUUUAUAUAUAUAUAUAUAUAUAUAUAUAUAUACUAUUACUAUUAUAUCCAUUCUAACAUUUUUUUUCGUAGUAAUAUAAAUAUUUUCCCCUUCUUUCUCAUUGUUGUAGCCAUUAGCUGCUGUUUUUAUUUUUAAUAUGUGUAGAUAUAAUUAAUGUGUAUAUUUAUAACUCUUAUGAUAUUUUCAGCAACUUCAUGUCAUAGUACUUUCAUCAUAAUAUACUAUUUGUGCUAACUAUCUUUUCCUUUAAUAUAGAUGAUUAUUAUUACUAAGUGUACUAUUCAUUACUACUACUUUUCUUUUACUAUUUUCUUUUAGUGACACUGUUAUUGUAGGAAUUAAGUUUAAUUGUCAUUAAAAAAAUUUUAUUUAAAAAAAUCACUUAGUUUAUGACCCGCUCUUCUACAAAAAAGUUAGCACAUUAUAAUCCUAAAAUUGAAAAAUCUCUUCGUUUACGCAGGAACGAACAAACAUCAUCUUCUCAGAGUAUAGAUUGUGAAGGAAUGGAAAACCAGGGAUUAGAAGAUAUCAAUCCACGCGAAGUCCCACCACCAGUCCAAAUAGAGGAUCAAUUUGAUGAAGUGGCGCCAAGACCAGCAAACAGAAUCCUAAGGGAUUAUGCUAGACCUGACCACUUCAACUGUGAAUCUAGUGUCAGGAAGCCCCUAGUGGCUGCCAACAACUUUGAAAUCAGAACCAGCCUGAUUCAGACGAUCCAACAAUCUUGUAUAUUUACUGGAGAUUCAAGUGAAGAUCCACAUAUUCAUCCAAUUGAUUUUCUAGAACUAGUUGAAACUGCUAAGUAUAAUGGAGUAUCCCCUGAAGCAAUUAAGUUAAGGUUAUUUCCUUUUUCUUUAAAAGGAGAUGCUAAGACUUGGUUGCGAAGCUUGCCUAAAGGAUCAAUUACCACAUGAGACCAAAUGACUCAAAAAAUUUAAAUACUAACACUUGGUUGCGAAGUUUUCCUCAAGGAUCAAUUACCACAUGAGACCAGAUGACUCAAAAAAUUUUAAAUAAAUAUUUUUCCCCUGCUAAAACCACAAAGUUAAGACAAGACAUAUCUAAUCUAAUUUCUCGCAGACUGACACAUAGUCAGUUUAUCAAGCCUGGGAAAGGUUAAAAGCAAUGUUAAGAAAAUGUCCACACCACGAUAUUUCUGAACAUAUGCAGUUGUAUAUUUUUUAUCACAGGCUAAAACCCUCUUCAAGAAAUGUGAUAGAUGCAGCUGCAGGAGGUUCAGUAAUGGGAAAAACAACAGAGGAAGUAUUACAAUUAUGAAUGAAAAUUUUGAGAACGCCAUCCAAUGGCCAUCUGAGCGUAUAAUUAUCAAGAAGGCUGCUACAGUAAAUUAGGUUGAUGCUUUAAAUACACUAACACAACAAAUUGUUUCUUUGGCACAAAAGUUUGAAACUUUUUAGGUGAAUACACAACAACCAAGCCAAGCUGAGGCUUGUGACAUGUGUGGAGGAAAUCAUCGUAACCAUGAAUGUCAAGCAACCAAUCACAAUGAUGAACAUGUUAAUGUCAUCGGUUACAAGCAGUAUCCUUUUGGAAGUCCAAUGGCACAGAAACAUCCAGGAUUUCAAUGGAGCAAUCCAAAUGGUGCAGAGAACUCUCAAAGCUUCCAGAAGUAACAAAUACAGGGUCCACCCGGAUACCAGAAUCCAAACCAUGGUCAAUCAAACUUUAGACCUUAUCAACAAGCAGUGACCUAUUAACAAAUACAGGGUCCACCCGGAUAUCAGAAUCCAAACCAUGGUCAAUCAAACUUUAGACCUUAUAAACAAGAAGGGCCCUAUCAGCAAAGGUCUCAACAAGUUCAUUCAAGUCUUGAUGAUCUCCUAUAUAAGUAUAUUAAGGUCACUGAUGAAAAUAUGGAGAACCAAAAUUCAUUCCUCAAAAAUCAGGAAAUACAGUUGAGCCAAUUGGCAGCUCUUCAGAAAAGAUUCAAGGUCCCUUACAAAGCAAUACAGAGAAAAAUCCAAAAUAUCACCUUAAGGCCAUCACCUUACGGUCAGGUAAGGAGCUUGAUGAACCAUAUACAGACCAGUUAGAACAACAGGUAAACAACGGUAAGAAUGUUGAAAUAAUCUCUGAACCAUCCGAAAAGAAUGAAGUCAAGAAAAAAGAAGAAAAAAUAUUAAAAAUUGACUCAUCUCUCUGUAACUAUUCCCUUUCCACAAAAAAUGAAAAGAGAAAAGCUUGACAACCAAUUUGCAAAAUUUUUGGAGAUUUUAAAACAAAUUCACAUCAAUAUUCUUUCUACUGAUGCUUUGUUGCAAUUGCCUUCAUAUGCUAAAUUUUUAAAGGAAAUUUUGUGAAGUAAAAGAAAAUUAGAAGAAGUUUCUUAUGUUUUGUUACAAAUGCCUUCGUAUUCAAUUUUUAAAGGAAAUUUUGUCAAGUAAAAGAAAAUUAGAAGAAGUUUCUGUGGUAAUGCUUACGGAAAAAUAUAGUGUUAUACUUCAAAAUAAGCUACCACCAAAAUUUGGUGAUCUAGGCAGUUUUACAAUUCCAUGUACUUUGGGAGGAGUAUAUUUUGAAAAAGCAUUUUGUGAUUCUGGAGCUUCAAUAAAUUUAAUGCCAUUUUAUAUCUUUAAAAAGUUAGAUCUUGGUUAAAUAAAAGACACAAGUAUUUCUCUUCAGUUUGCAUAUCAAAGUACUAAGAAACCUAAGGGAAUAAUUGAAAAUGUACUCGUAAGAGUAGAUAAGUUUGUUUUCCCUGUAGAUUUUAUAGUGCUUGAAAUGAAAUAAUGUCCUAAUGAACCAAUAAUUUUAGGUAGACCAUUUAUUGCUACAGGAAGAGCAAUUAUAGAUGUUCAUCAAGGACAACUAAUUUUGAGAGUUGAUGAAGAGAGAGUCAUCUUUGAUAUGCAAAUUCAGGAGAUGAAACAUCAUCUUCAUGUUUUUCAAUUGACAUGAUUAGUUAUCUUACAGAUGAAUUCAAAGAUGAUCAAUUAAAUUCAGAUUCAAAGGAAAGAUGCUUGAUCAAAUCAGGCACCACACAUGACGAUGAUCUCACAAUCAGAAGUGAAGCUGAAAUAUUUGACAAAGAUUCAGAGGAAGAAGAGAUGACAUCCGAAGAAGUUCAAUCAAAAAUUGAACUCAAAACUCUCCCUUCUCAUUUGAAUUAUGUAUAUCUUGAGAAAGAAUUAUUUCCAGUAAUUAUUUCAUCUUCUCUUGCUGCAGAACAAGAAAGUAGUUUGAUUAAAGUAUUGAAAGCACACAAAGGAGCCUUAGGGUAGGCUGUAGAAGAUAUUAAAGGAAUUAGUCCGGCUAUUUGUACACAUAGAAUCCUCAUAGAGGAUAGCUACAAGCGAAUAGUCCAGCCACAAAGAAGAUUGAAUCCAGCAAUGCAGGAAGUAGUGAAGAAAGAGAUCGUAAAGCUGUUUGCACCAGGUAUUAUAUACCCCAUUUCUGAUAGCCCGUGGGUAAGUCCCGUUCAGGUAGUACCAAAGANNNNNNNNNNNNNNNNNNNNNNNNNNNNNNNNNNNNNNNNNNNNNNNNNNNNNNNNNNNNNNNNNNNNNNNNNNNNNNNNNNNNCUAUAAAAAAUAAAAAUAAUGAGCUCAUACCUACCAGGACUGUUACAGGAUGGAGAGUCUGUAUUGAUUACAGACGUCUUAAUGAUGUCACUAGAAAAGAUCAUUUUCCUUUGCCAUUUAUUGAUCAAAUGUUGGAAAGAAGUGCAAGAUAUGGUUUUUACUGUUUUCUUAAUGGUUAUUCAGGAUAUAAUCAGAUACCAAUUGCACUAGAAGAUCAAGAUAAGACAAUCUUCACAUGCCCUCAUGGAACAUAUGCCUAUAGGAGAAUGCUCGGGUCUGUGCAACGCCCCUGCUACAUUUUAGCGUUGUAUGUCGGCAAUUUUUGCUGACAUGAAUGACAAAUUUCUUGAAAUUUUUAUGGAUGAUUUUACACUAUUUGGAAAAACAUAUAAGGAUUGUCUUAACCACUUGACCUUAGUUCUUAAAAGAUGUAAAGGAACAAACUUAGUUCUUAAUUGGGAAAAUGUCAUUUUAUGGUUACAACGGGAAUUAUUUUACGACAUAAAAUCAAUGCUAAAGGGAUAGAAGUUGAUAAGCCAAAAUUAAUCUUAUAGCACGAUUACCCCCUCCCACAACUGUGAAAGGCAUUAGGAGCUUUCUAGGUCAUGCAAGUUUUUACAGACGAUUCAUAGAAGAUUUCUCAAAGAUUUCAAAACCACUGACUAACCUCUUGAUGAAAGACAUUAAGUUUGACUUUUUUAGGUGAAUGUGUGAAAGCGUUUGAAACCCUUAAGGAAAAGUUAUCAACUGCACCUGUAAUUGUGUCCCCUGAUUGGAACCAACCUUUUGAGGUCAUGUGUGUUGUUAGUGAUAUACCGGUUGGAGCAGUUUUAUACCAAAGAAAAGAAAGGAUAUUCCGUCCUAUUUUCUAUGCUAGUAGGACACUGAGUAAGACUCAAGUGAAUUAUGCCACGACAGAAAAAGAGUUACUAGCAGUAGUGUUUGCUUUUGAUAUAUGCUAGUAGGACAUUGAGUGAGACUCAAGUUAAUUAUGCCACGACAGAAAAAAAAAUUACUCACAGUAGUGUUUGCUUUUGAUAAAUUUCGUUCCUAUUUAAUAGGAACAAAGGUCAUUGUUUUUACUGAUCAUGCAGCUUUAAAAUACCUCUUAGCUAAGAAAGAUGCUCGACCUAGAUUAUUAAGAUAGAUUUUAUUUCUGCAAGAAUUUGACCUUGAGAUAAAGGUCAAGAAAGGGAUAGAGAACCAAGUAGCUGACCAUUUGUCUAGAUUAGAAAACCCUCCCCUUGAUUUUAAUGAGCUUAAAGAAGAAUUUCCUGAUGAACAUAUUUUCUCAGUUAACACAAUUGUGACUCAACCACCCUGGUCUGCAGAUAUUGCGAAUUACUUGGUUGGAAAGUGGAUACCGCAGGAUUUCUCUUAUCAGCAAAGAAAAAAGCUUAUAUCUGAUGCAAAGUAUUAUCUGUGGGAUGAACCUUACUCAUUCAAAAAUUGUGCAGAUAAUAUCAUUAGAAGGUGUGUACCUACUUAUAUCUGAUGCAAAGUAUUAUCUGCGGGAUGAACCUUAAUUAUUCAAAAAUUGUGCAGAUAAUAUCAUUAGAAGGUGAAGAAGAGAUGAAUAAAAUUCUAUAUCACUGUCAUGAUGGAGCAACUAGAGGACAUUAUGCAGCAAAUCGAACAGCUUUUAAAGUUUUAGAAGCUAGAUUCUUCUGGCCCACACUCUUCUAAGAUGCUCGAGCAUAUGUAGCACAAUGUGACAGGUAUCAGAGAACAUGUAAUAUCACCAAAAGAGAUGAGAUGUCACUGCAAUGGAUUCUUUUGGCCCACACUCUUCAAAGAUGCCCGAGCAUAUGUAGCACAAUGUGACAGGUGUCAGAGAACAGGUAAUAUCACCAAAAGAGAUGAGAUGUCACUGCAAUCAAUACAGGUAUGUGAAAUAUUUGAUGUUUGGGGAAUAGAUUUUAUGGGUCCUUUCCUUCUUCUCACUCUUUUGAGUAUAUUCUUGUGGCUGUGGAUUAUAUGUCAAAAUGGGUUGAAGCCAUCCCCACAAGAAAGAAUGAUGUUCGUACAGUGUGUAAUUUUCUUAGAAAAAAUAUUUUUACUAGAUUUGGCACAUCGCGAAUCAUUAUUAGUGACCAAUGAACUCAUUUUAUCAAUAGACAAUUUUCUGCUUUACUGUCAAAAUAUAAUGUGGCUCACAAAAUCGGAACACCAUAUCAUGCUCAAACUCAAGGGCAAGUUGAGGUUUCCAACCGCGAGUUAAAAAGAAUUCUUGAAAAAAUGGUUGGAAUCUCAAAAAAAGAUUGAGCUUUAAAAUUAGAUGAUGCACUAUGGGCGUACCGUACGGCUUUCAAAACGUCAAUUGGAACAUAUCCAUAUAGAUUAGUCUUUGAAAAAGCUUGUCAUUUGCCCGUAGAAUUAGAACAUAAAGCUUUUUGGGCAUUGAAAGCGCUGAACUUUGAUUUAACCUCUGCUGGUAAAAAGCGAUUUAUUCAGGUUAAUGAAUUGGAAGAACUGAGAUUGGGAGCCUAUGAAAAUGCUAAAAUGUUUAACGGCUUUCAAAACGUCAAUUGGAACAUAUCCAUAUAGAUUAGUCUUUGAAAAAGCUUGUCAUUUGCCCGUAGAAUUAGAACAUAAAGCUUUUUGGGCAUUGAAAGCACCGAACUUUGAUUUAACCUCUACUGGUAAAAAGCGAUUUAUUCAGGUUAAUGAAUUGGAAGAACUGAGAUUGGUAGCUUAUGAAAAUGCUAAAAUGUUUAAAGAAAAAACGAAAAUAUGGCAUGAGAAGUUGAUCCGACCAAAGAGUUUUAAAAUUGGAGAUCAGGUACUUCUUUAUAAUAGCCGACUCAGGUUAUUCCCAGGAAAAUUAAAAUCCAGGUGGACAGGUCCUUACAAUGUUACAGGCGUUACUCCAUACGGGACAAUAGAAAUUCAGAAAAAUGGAGGAGCCAGGUGGACAGGUCCUUACAAUGUUACAGGCGUUACUCCAUACGGGACAAUAGAAUUUCAGAAAAAUGGAGGAGACAAGUUUAAGGUAAAUGGUCACAUGCUAAAAUUGUACUUUGGAAGAAACUUUGAACAACAUCAAUCGGUUACUUUGAUAGAUUGAUGAAUUUAGCAAUUAAUAAGUCGAGCUGAAGAUGUUAAACUCAGAACUAAGAUAUAAAACCCGUAGCCAUUGAGGGAGAAGCAGUGGAACCUCAUAAACCCGGCAUAGAAUUAGGGUAAUUUAAUGCUUAAUCAAUUCAUCUGGUCAAUAUUCAGGUUAUUGUACAACCAAAACAUCUCAUGAAGGCCUCUACAAAAACAGAGUCACAUGUACACGAGUAACUCCAUGGUGACCGGUAUGCCUAAGUAACCGGUUGAUUAACCAUUUAACGAAUCAAUUCAAAAUAUUGGCACAGGUAAAUUUAUUGUUUUAUAUUUAAACCAGGACCAAAUGACUGAUAAGAUCUUAAACUAGUCAGUUUAUUACAUAUAAAAACAUGUGUUGUCACACACUCUUUCAAGUUUUUUCUUCUCUAUCCUAUAUAUAUAUAUAUAUAAUUUCAAUGGAGCAAUCCAAAUGGUAAUUGAGAAGUAUUAUGAGCUCAACAGGUAGAAUCAAUAAAAUUCUACUGGAACUUACCCCAAAUGUCUAUCAAGGCGAAAUUCUAGACAACACUAUUUUUAGAAUGAAAUUAGGCUUUCUUUGACACCCUUUUUAGCCUAUCCAUUUUUAACCACAAAUAUUUAUAUUUUACCUUUUAGCACCCAACUUUGAGCCAAACGAAAAAAAAAGAAAAAAAGGGAUAAACCAACUUUUAUUUAUACAUCAUAUUGGUUUAUCUUAAAAAACAAGUUGAUACUACUCCUUCCGGCUAGAGUUGAGCAAAAAUAAUUAUUAAAGCAAGCGGUGAAGGAAUACUUAAGGAGUAAAUGUUCUAUUACACUACUAAAAAAGUGAAGAAGAAGAGGAAAACAAGGUGUAUAUACCUAUAAAAUAAAUUAUUGGUUCAAGAAGCUUGAAUUUAAGAAAUCUAUUGAGAGAAUAAUGACUUAUGUGUUAUGAAUUAUGAAAUUGGAGACCGGGGCCUUUAGCCCAAUCUCUAGAGUUAUUUUCUUUGUGUUGAAUUGUAUAUAAUUAUUUUGGUAAAAUAAUCAGCUCGCAUAAUAAAGCUGGAUGGAACAAAGUCACUACAAAUAUAUCCUUUUACCUUACCAGCAUUAAGCCUAUCAUUACAAGCCUGAAAAACUCAUAAAAUAAUUUUAGAAAUUAGUGUUGAUUUUUAUCAUUACAAGCCUGAAAAAGUUCUAAAAUAAUUUUAAAAAUUAAUGUUGAUUCUACAUUAGUGAAAACUGACAUGAAGGGCAAGCCUAUGGAAGAAAUUUGAGAAACUCGAAAUUGUAAUCAUAAUGUUAUCAAUCUCAAAAGGAUCAUCAAAAGAGGAGUUGAAAGUUUUUGGCAAACAAAAGCAGAAGCAGAAACAAGGUAAAGAUUUGGUGACUUGAAAUACUUAUAGGUUUUGAAUUUUAUGUGAAAUUUUAUUUUUUUACUUUUCUACUCUACAAGAAACAACAAUUAUUAAUAAAAUUAUUGCCUCGAGGACGAGCAAAAAUUCAAGCGUGGGGGAGUUUGAUGACUAUAAAAUAUUCAUAUAUUAUAUACUUAAAAAUAAAUUACUUUAAAUUAUAUAUAUAUAUAUAUAUAUACAUGGAAAACGAAGGACGAGGCAUCGUGGCAAAAGAAGCACAAGACCUUAUGAUAAAAGAAGCAUGAGGCAACAUGACACCUUAUGAUAUUUGAUUUCUAUAAAUAGUAUGUCAUAUUUGUGCUGAAGAGAGAAGAUCAUACGUACCUAACAAAAUAACUUUUCUUUAGAUUUAGUCUUUACAUCUUUCUUUAUAUAUUCACUUUAUCUUGUAGUCUUGAGGGAAUUUACUAAGAGUGUUGACAUUAUUUUAAGAAUUCCUUUCUUUGUGAGAUUUAAAUACUCCAUAAUGGAGUAAUCUCUUUUGUUGAGAUAGUUGAUGAAGCUCGAUAUCUUUACAAUAUUAAUCUCAAUUUUACUAUAUGCUUGACCUGAAACUUUCUAAUUACAUUUUUAUAUUGUGCUGGAAUGUUAGUUUGAUGAAGCUCGAUAUCGUUAUAAUAUUAAUCUCAAUUUUACUACAUGCUUGAGCUGAAACUUUCUACUUAUAUUUCUAUAUUGUGCUCGAAUGUUAGUUUUAAUUAAUUAUUAUCACUUCUAUCUAUUUAUUCUCCAAAGUUAGUUGUAUGUCAAUUUUGUAAUUCUCACGAAGCAAAAUUAAUAUACGAUAUAUAUUGGGUAAAAUAAUAGAGCGAGAGUAAUCUUUUUAAACUAUCAUUCCAAGUCUGUAAUCUUGCUUACUUCCAUUCUAAUUAUCACAGAGGAGUUGUAGUUAGAAAUAUUAUUGAUUUUUAGUAAAAACUAAUCGCAAGAGGUUUUUACUAUCUUAUAGCACAACUUAGGCAAGAAAAUUAUUUCAAUUUAUAGUCACGAGUCAUAUAUCAAUUGAUUUACAUAAUAUUUGCGGAGUGUUAUUAAUCGAUUAUUUCUUGGUGAGCAAAUAUCAGUGGUGUUAAACAGGUCUACCGGGUCGGUCCGGGUCCAAAAAUUUUCGACUCGUCCGGGUUCCGGGCCGGACCGGUCCGGGUUGCACAGUGACAGGUUCUUACCGAGCUGGGUUAGUUUGAGUUAAAAUUGAAUCAUACGGGUUACGGGUUUAAGUGGCCCGGGCGGUGCCGGGUUUAGUUUUUUUUUUUGGAAUUAUGUGUAGUAUAACUAUUAAGUUAUAUUAAUACUUUGUAAAUUGUAANNNNNNNNNNNNNNNNNNNNNNNNNNNNNNNNNNNNNNNNNNNNNNNNNNNNNNNNNNNNNNNNNNNNNNNNNNNNNNNNNNNNNNNNNNNNNNNNNNNNNNNNNNNNNNNNNNNNNNNNNNNNNNNNNNNNNNNNNNNNNNNNNNNNNNNNNNNNNNNNNNNNNNNNNNNNNNNNNNNNNNNNNNNAGCAAAGUAGUAAGUUCAAAUGUUUUGCAUCGCCCUAUCGAGUUCAUCAUAAUCAAUAUGAACUGAUUGACCUUAUUCUGGCGAGUUAAAUUCGGAUGGGUUUUUAAAUUCGGAUGGGUUUCCAUGAGUUAAUAUAUCUCCAAGUUCCUUGUCUUCUGCGCUAUCAACAUCCUCUUUUCCUUGAUUUCUUCGUUCUGAUCUAAUCCAAUCAAUGAAACAUACUAAAACUUCCAAAGCAUUGCUUCCCAAUGAGUGGCGGGUGUCUCCAAGUUGUUGUCUUGCUUGGCUAAAUGCACUCUCCGACGCAACAGUGGAAAUUGGCACAUUCAGGACGUCCCGAGCCAUAGCGCAAAGAACGAGAAAUUGCUUUUCAUUUUCAUGCCACCAUCCCAACGGUGAAAAUUCCUUUUUGCGAGACUCCUUUUGCUUCUGCAAGUAGAAUUGAAGCUCAUCAAUAUUCCUGUUACUGGUUUAAGUGUUAGAAAAUGUAGAAAAAAUAUUAAAACUAUCGAGGCCUUCAUCAUUCACAUUAGCAGAACUACUACAUUGCAUAGCGGGAUUAACAUCGCCAGAAGCACGAGCAAUAUUAUCACAUUCAUUUGCAUAAUAAUUAUACAGUUGUUGUAAAUAUUCAUUUAACUUGUUCAUAGAAUCAUAUAAAUUUGGGGUUUCAGUUUCUCCAAUCUCCAUAUAAGUUUAUAAAAUAUUAAUUAAUUGGAGACAAUUAGACAUUUUAAUAGAGGAUUUAAAACUGCACCUAUUAAGUAAAUCGGAGGAAUUGAAAAGAAAUAUUUUUUGAAUUUUGCUUGCAUUUUUUCAACUACAUCCUUAUAUUUUUCUUUCUUCUUAAAUUUAGAUAGUAGCAAAGAAAUUUCAGCUAUAUGUACUAAAUCCAUAGUAAUAGUGGGGUAAUAUGCCCCAGAAAACACAACAGUAGCAGCAUAAAAUUUAUGUAAAAAUUUAACAACAUCAUUAAUGACCUCCAAAGUAUCACUUGUUAACAUACACCUAGGAUCAGUACAAUGUGCAUUAGCAACUUGAGUUAUAGGAAAUCUAUAUUUGUAGCAACAUUUUAAAAAUAUAUAUGUAUAAUUCCAUCUGGUAACAAUUUCGUCUGGCAUGAAUCUAGGUUUAAGGUUAUACUGGAUACACUUAGUCUUAAAUUCUUUUAUUCUAGAUUGUCUAUUAUUUCCCUGAAUAUGAAUCUAGGUGUAAGGUUAUACUGGAUACACUUAGUCUUAAAUUCUUUUGUUCUAGAUUGUCUAUUAUUUCCUUGAAUAACACCAACUUCUCUUCUAACAUGAGUAAUCUCACUGUAAAAUAAAUCAAGGCCACUUUUAACAAUUAAAUUAUAAAUAUGACAUGCACACCUAACUUGAAAAAUAUCAUCAAGAGGUGGUUGCAAAUGCAAUUUUAAAAUUGAAACUGCGGCAUUAUUGNNNNNNNNNNNNNNNNNNNNNNNNNNNNNNNNNNNNNNNNNNNNNNNNNNNNNNNNNNNNNNNNNNNNNNNNNNNNNNNNNNNNNNNNNNNNNNNNNNNNNNNNNNNNNNNNNNNNNNNNNNNNNNNNNNNNNNNNNNNNNNNNNNNNNNNNNNNNNNNNNNNNNNNNNNNNNNNNNNNNNNNNNNNNNNNNNNNNNNNNNNNNNNNNNNNNNNNNNNNNNNNNNNNNNNNNNNNNNNNNNNNNNNNNNNNNNNNNNNNNNNNNNNNNNNNNNNNNNNNNNNNNNNNNNNNNNNNNNNNNNNNNNNNNNNNNNNNNNNNNNNNNNNNNNNNNNNNNNNNNNNNNNNNNNNNNNNNNNNNNNNNNNNNNNNCUCUAAUGGCUAAACAAAUAACGUAUGUAUGUUUGAUAUUGUCCAUGAAAUUUAAAGAUGUCUGCUCUACAAGUACUUCUAGGGAUACCUUUAGAUAAAGGAUUGUAAAUCCUUUGAAUAUACAUAAUAAGAUACGAUGAAGAAGCAAAAGAAAUAGGUAAACAACCCAAAGUAAUCAUUUUUGCUAAUUCCUCACGAUCCCUCAUUUUAACAUAUUUUACUAAACCUCCAGUAGCAUGGUUAAUAGUUGUUUGACUUUCAUCCCCAUUAUUGCCCCAUUCUAUGGGAUGGAUAGACAUCAUAUGUCUAGUAAGUGUCCUAGUCCCCCCUAAAUUUCCUCCGGUCAAAUGUUUAAAAGUUUCGUUACAAAGUUUGCACUUAACUCUAUUAGCCUUCUAUUAUUUCAAAAAAUUUCCAUACCGGACUUCUUCUUUUACGAUUAGAAGUCAGAGCCACUGGUGGUCUACUACCCCUUGUAGCACUAGAAACUCCAACCCCAAUAUUACCAACAUUUCCACUACUAGGUGUAGGUGGUAUCUCAUCUUCUAUUCCAAUUUCAUUAUCUUCUAUUCCAAAAUCUUCUUGUAAUUGUUCANNNNNNNNNNNNNNNNNNNNNNNNNNNNNNNNNNNNNNNNNNNNNNNNNNNNNNNNNNNNNNNNNNNNNNNNNNNNNNNNNNNNNNNNNNNNNNNNNNNNNNNNNNNNNNNNNNNNNNNNNNNNNNNNNNNNNNNNNNNNNNNNNNUCAUAAUCAAUCUCUACAUUAUCAUUAGGCGAUGAUUCAGAAACAUGUGUUAUUGGGUCAUUACUAUUACUACCGGAAGCUACAGGACUACCUCUUUUUUGUUUUCACCCCUACCAUUAACUUUUCUACACGCUCUUUUAAAAGCACUAAACAUAUCGUAAAAAUGAAAGUAUAAGCUAAUAUUAAAUAUGUAAUUAAAAUAUUAAAUAAGAGAAAAAGUUGGAGGGAGUGCACCGAAUUCGAUAAUAAAUUGAGCACUUGAUUACGCAAAUCCGGUGUUNNNNNNNNNNNNNNNNNNNNNNNNNNNNNNNNNNNNNNNNNNNNNNNNNNNNNNNNNNNNNNNNNNNNNNNNNNNNNNNNNNNNNNNNNNNNNNNNNNNNNNNNNNNNNNNNNNNNNNNNNNNNNNNNNNNNNNNNNNNNNNNNNNNNNNNNNNNNUUGCAAAUUGAAGGGAAGAGAGAUAGAUUGAUAAUUUGAGAAUUAAGAAUUUAAGAUUGAGAUAAGAAUUUUGAGUGAAGAAAUGAAGAAGAGAUGAGUGUAUUUAUAGAUUUUAAGAAGGGUUAAUAUUGUAAAUUAAUAAAUACAAAAAAUAACCAAAAAAUUGCCAUUUUUGCAACAUUAUCCGUUGGUUAACGGAUCUGGACCGUUGCCAACAGUAAUGUGGGCCCCAUAAUUUCAAAAAACCAUAAAAACAAAAAAGAAUUACCGUUUACCGGGCCUGUCCAACCGGUUCACGGUAUUGUUUACUCAAACCGGGCCGGUCUGGUUCGGUUCCAACCCCAAAAAUCCCAAACGGACCAACCCCAUCCCCCCCUCGAACCCAGCCCACGCGACCCCUUAGUAACCGGGCCGGUCUGGUCCCGAGUUCUACCGGUCCGGUCCGGUUUGGUCCCGGUCCGACCCAGCCCGGUUGACACCUUUAUCAAAUAUAAUUAUAUUAGCAAUAAACAGUUCAUCCUAAGAGAAAUACAUGUAGAACCUAAGAUUUUAUUAUUAUCACGCUAUCGAGUGAAUUCAAUGAUUCCCAACUUUAUUUAAAUAUAAAUCUCCGAAAGUUAUUUUGUUUCAACUUAAGCAAUUUAGAUCUUCAAAAAAUAAACUUCAUCAACUUGGUUCUCUAGAAUAAUAGUAAGAAUAUUAUAAGUUUGUAGCUAGAUUUUUCAGUCUCUAUGGGACGAUAUCUUAAACUAUAUUAGAAUUUGACUAAGCACGAGCAGGAAAAUCCUAUACACAUUGGCCUCGUCAGUUGUUAAUAAUGAGGACCGACUAAGUCCAUUCUAACAUGUUUUGUUUUGAAUUUUGAGAAAGCUGGAGUGAUCUAUUUGUGGUAAGCUGGAAGCACAAGAUCCAGGAAAAUUUGAUUCAAGAUAGUGACACCUAGAAUAUCACAAUGAAUCCUUUACAUAAACAUGAUGAUGCACACUUUGUGGGGAUGUUGCCCGGUGACACGGGGUAUGAGAAUGUACUGACUAAAGCUGAAGAUCUUGAAGCAGAUAGUCAUCUUGACAAUAUGUAUGCAAAGCUCAAUGGCUAAAAAUGUCGUGCUUGUUAAUUGGAAAGACGCUCCAUGUCUGGGUCAGCUGGGAGGGAGUCUUGGUAGUAGGCUCUGAUUUUCCUUUUGGUUUUCUGGAUCACUCCGGGGUUGUAAUCCGGUUUCUUUUAGUUUUGUACUUGUCAAAGUUUGAAACUUUGUUAUCCCGUUAUUCAACGAAAAUGAAAAAAAUUCACUUUUUACUUGAUUUUAAUUUGUUUUCUUCUUUUCUCUUUCUCCAUUUCUCUUUAUACUGGUUCGAAUGACAUGGCAUGCACGAUGGAUCUUCAACCCAGUCUAAAAAAAAUCAAUCUGAUUAUGAACUAAUAAUACAAGAAGUAGAUUGAUAAUAAUGAGUGGGUCAAAACCCGAAUGGAGCGGUUGAGGCGCCCAACAAUAACAUAGAGAAUAUAUUGAGAGAAAUGGUAGAAGGGACCAAGCAAUGGCAUGAAAAACUACCAUUUGCAUUGUUGGGUUAUCGCACUACUGUUCCUACUUCAGUAGGUGCAACUCCUUAUCUAUUGGUAUACGGAACUGAAAUAAGAAUACCAGCAGAGGUUGAAAUUCCGCCUCUACGAAUUCUCGCCGAGGAUCAGAUUGAUGAUGAUGAGUGGGUAAAAGCCCAAUUGGAGCAGUUGAACUUAAUUGAUGAAAAGAAAUUGGCAGCAGUAUGCUAUGGACAGUUGUAUCAAAAGAGAAUGGCAAGAGCAAUAAUAAGAAUGUGCGUCCCAUUAAAUUUGAAGUGGGGCAACAAGUGUUGAAACGAAUCCUGCCACAUCAUGCCGAAGUAAAAGUCAAGUUCGCCCCGAGCAGGCAAUGACCAUUCAUUGUGACCAGGGUGUCAUCCAAUAGCGGUUUAUGUUUGACAGAUGCCGAGAGAAGCUAUAUCGACAUGGCUAUCAAUUCUGAUACAGUCAAUAGGUAUUUUGUAUGAUUUCUUUGAUUAUAAUUGUUUGUUUGUUUGCACUUGGAAUUAAUCGGAGAAUGAAAUGAUGGAGGCAUUUUUUUCCUACUAUCCAAAUACUUUAGCCUUUGCUUCCCCCUUUGAGCCUUAUUUAUUCUUUCAUACCCCUCUCUUGGAAUCAUUAAAUAAAAAACGAGAAUGAAUAAAAAAGUUGAAAAAAAAGAAGAAAGAAAAAUUGAUAACAAAAACAAAAAGGAAAGCCGCAAGAAAAACAAAGGAAUCAAGUGAACUACGUUCGACCUGAUUCCUCAAAGAGGACACGUAGGCGCCUCACGGCUCAGUCAUAGUGUAACAAAAAUAAAAAAAUCCCCCAGCAAGAAAACUGGGGCAAAAGUUAUGUUUUAAAUUUGGAAAAAAAAAGAAGAAAAGAAGAUUGAUUCCAAGAGUUGUAAUGUUUUACCCAUUAAAGUUAUUUUGAAUCUGUUAAUAUCCUCUUCUUUUGGCCCCGCACAAAAACCCACAUUGAUAUCCAAAAAAGACCUCCCGAUCAGUAUCCGAGAUGUGCCAAGACAGAUAAAUGAAAGCCAAGAAUAACACGCUGGCCCCGACUGAAUGAGUAUCAUGAGCUGAAAAGAAUUGAUAGCCAAAAGAAUUCUCAGUAGAGAGAAUCUUAUCGGUAACACUCCAAUCUCAAGCUAAGAGAAACAAAAUGAGAUAGUCUUAUGUGAAAACCUUCACAGGCACCAUAAGGCGACGUAAGCUGAGAGAAUCAAAAUGAGAGAGUCUUGUUAAUGAAAACCCCUCGAAGGGCACUAUGAGGCGACGAGAUAAGAUUGGCGGAAGGGAUCCGCAUUUGGCGAAGAGUUGGGCACCUGUUUAUCCCCAACAAGUGAAGACAUCAUAAAUAUUGAUUGAUAUAAAUAGGCUGGGUUGAUUAAUCCGGAAUGCACGACAUGAUCGUUGGUAUCGAGGCACCUGUUCAUCCCCAGCAAGUGAAGACAUCAGAAAGAUUGAUUGAUACAAAUAGACUAGGUUGAUUAAUCCGGGAGGCACGACAUGAUCACUGGGAUUAGUUAUACCAUUCAGAUAAGUUCUUUUUAUUUUCUUUUCCACAACAUUUGUUCAGACAUACUUCUUCUUUUAUAUCUUUUCAUUUCUUUGUUUAAAGACUUUUUCUUUAGCAAUUUGUUUUUUAGAAAUAUUUUUCAGAAAGAUUUUUCAGAGCUUACUACCAGUUGUCGAGAUGGUACAAAGCAAAAGUAUCCUCAGCAGAUUUUCGAGAUGCAGGAACAACUCCGACAGAUUCUGAGGUGGUCGGAUAAACGCAAAGUGGGGAAGGAAGAAAAAGGAAAUUCAUCCCCAGCAGAAUAAUCCCCAGCAAGUUGUUAUAGUGUAAUGAAACACAGAGCGGGGACGAAACAAAAGGGAAAAACCAUCCCCAGCAGGAAUGUCAUCUCCACCAAAUAACAUUAUUCCCCAAAAAGUUUUGGAACGCAAAGCAGGAAAAAGGGAAAAGGAAAAACCAUCCCCAGCAGGAGUGGCACGACCACUCACCAUGUUAUAAAACUAACAAAUUUUCUUUGAUUUGAAGCAGGAAAAGGAAAUCUUAUUAAUGACGGAAAGACAUGCCAUAAGGAAGAGCACCAAAACUGGGGCAGAAAAUUUUCUGCCAUUAUCGAAAAUUUUCUUUGAGGAAAGAGGAAAUCAAUUCAAGUUUUAAGGGAUUGCAAGAUAGCACAAUUUUAAGAGAACACGGUCGAAGUAAGAUAAUUUCAAGUUUUGAAGUCGGAAGCCCGCCCGUAUAAUAAAGGUAUACAUUUCACUCUUUUAAUUUCAAGUUUUGAAGAUAGGUUCAUCCACAUUCGAAUAAGAUAUUAUAGGCUGUCCACCUUCGAAUAGGAUAUUAUAGGUUCAUCCGCCUUCGAAUAGGAUAUUAUAGGUUGUCCACCUACCAAUAGGAUAUUAUAGGUUGUCCACCUUCGAAUAGGAUAUUAUAGGUUUGUCCACCUUCGAAUAGGAUAUUAUAGGUUCAUCAUGUAAUGACCCGACCCGUCAUUUCUUGUAUUUUUAGCUCCGUCAGCCCCGUUAUAUGUUUCCCCGUGUGUUGAUAUACGUGGUUGGUAAGUUUGAAGUGAUUUGGGUUGGAAUUGGAUAUAAUUGAGGCAAAUAGUCUCAUUAAGCAAAACUUAAGUUGGAAAGGUCAACCCGACGUUGACUUACGAGUUAGAGGACUCAGAAUGGAUUUCCGAUGAUUCGACUAGAUUUAGAUGGUGAUUUAUGACUUAGGAGUGGAAACGGAAGUGAAUCCGGAGCUCCCGUGUUGAAUUACGCUUGAAUUGGCUAAAGUUGAAUUUCGGCGAAUUUCGGUUGAUAGGUGAGAUUUUGAUCCGGGGGUCGGAAUAGAAUUCUGAGAGUUACAGUAGUUUCGUUAGGUGAUUUUGGAUAUGUCUGCAAAUUUAGGUCAUUCGGGCGUCAUUUGGUUGGGUUUUGGAACGAAAGAGAAUUCAGAAAAUUCUAGUUUAACUUAGGAUGAAAGUCAAUGAUUUUGGUGAUUUUUGAUGUUAAGGAUAGCGUUCUUACAACCCGAACAAGUUUGAAUGAAGUAUUAAGUCAUGUUGGUGCUUUUGGUUGAGGCCCUGGGGGCCUCAGGUGAUAUCGGAUGGUUAAACGAGGAAUUUUUGGAGUUAAGCAUGAUUAAUGACUGCUGCUUCUGGUAUUUUCGUAGAAGCGGUUGGGAGACCGCUUAAGCGGUGUCAGGAGAAGCGGACAAUGAGCCGCAGAAGCAGCCAAAAGGAAGUCAGAGACCACAGAAGCGGUCAAAGGGACCGCGUUCGCGGAAGAUCUACCGCAGAAGCGGUCGCUGAGAAAAUGGUCAGAUCGCGAAAGCGGUCAACUGGGCGCGGAAGAGAGGACCGCUGAAGCGGAAAAAUACCACGGAAGCGGAAAUCAUCUAGUUAUUUUGGAAUUAGAGGGUUUAAUAUUUUGAAAAGGAGAAUAACAAUAGAACUUCGGGUUGAGGCGAUUGAGAGAGGUUUUGGAGAGAUUUUCGAGGGGAUUCUUCAGGUAUGAUCUCUUAGUCACUCUUUCAUUUUUUGGACCAAGGGAGCUCGGUGAAGCGAUAUUUCGAGUGAUUUUGAAGGAAAACAUUGGGGUAAGUGUUCUUAACUCAAUUUUGGUUGUAUAACUCGAAUCUAUUGCAACUUUUGGUGUAUAAUUUGAGGAUUUUUGUUGGAAAGGGUAGAAAACCCUCUUGGUUAGAAUCACCAAUUUGAGGGGUCAAAAAAACCUCAAUUUUUGUAAAUUUUAUUUGUAUAGACUCGUGGGGAGACAAGGAUUCUGAAAAUGUGAAUUUCAUAAUUUUUCGAGAAGUGGGCCUGGGGCUCGGUUUUCACCAACUUCGUGUUUUUGGGUGUAUUUUGAGUUAUUUCGAUUGAGUUAUGCUCCAUUAGCCUAUUGUGACGUAUUCCUAUUGGUUUGCGGCCGGCUUGAGGUGAGUAAUGGGUGUAGAUGAUGACCCGAGGGUUUGAAACCCAGGUAUAUCACAUUGUGACGCUAUUAUGAGGCUAGACACACACUCCAUGGCUAGUGCGGGGUUGUAUAUGUUGGAAAUUGUGACUCGGUCCAAUCCGAGGGACACAUGGUACUACGUUGGCGAUUGCCUCGCAUACUAUAUUGAUGUUAUCUGGGUUUGAUGCCAUGUUUGGGGCCCUGUGCUGACUUGUAGGAUCCUUCAGGGAAUGUUAUCUCAAAAUUUUCAUGAUUUGCAUAUUAUUUGAAAUCAGUCUAGGUUUAAAUACUAUUUCUUUUGCAAACUCCACCAUAUUUAUACGUUUUGAAAACUCAAAUGAUUUUUGAAUGAUAUUUCGGGCUGACGAGAAUUAUCUCGCUAUUUUGGGACUGUAUAUUAUUUUAAAUGGAAACGGUGGUAACUAAGGACACUGUAUAUUAUUGUAUUGGAACGCUGGUAACUAAGGACAUCGUAUAUUAUUGUAUUGGAAUGGUGGUAACUAAGGACACCGUAUAUUAUUGUAUUGGAACGGUGGUAACUAAGGAAACCAUAUACUAUUGUAUUGACGGUGGUAACUAAGGACACCGCGUAUUAUAAUGAAACGGUGGUAACAAAGGACACCGUGUGUUGUGAUGAAAAUAGUGGUAACUAUUGAAAAUUGUAUGAUAUGGCGCUUGGGCUGUAGGAACCCCUCCAGAGUCUGAACCCCCACAGUGAGCGCGGGUACCCAUAUGGAUCGGGCUGCACGUUCCGCAGUGUNNNNNNNNNNNNNNNNNNNNNNNNNNNNNNNNNNNNNNNNNNNNNNNNNNNNNNNNUAUGGAUCGGGCUGCACGUUCCGCAGUGUUCAUGCAUUGCAUUGCACCUCAUGCAUUUAUUAACUGUGGCUUAUUCUGUAUAUCUCUAAGACUCGUAUUGUAUAGAAUUGCUAUAUAGCUUUACUCUGUGUUAUUUCGUGAUUUCUUAUCAUUGGUGUUUUAUACAUGCUUAUUACUCGCUGAGUUUGUAGACUUACCCCAUACUCCCUGCACCUUGUGUGCAGAUCCAGGUGCUUCCGAGGUUUAGCAUUGCUGCUGCUGAUUAUCUAGUUGCCAGAGCAUUGAGGUAGCUGCCAGCGUCCGCAUGACCGAUUGCUCUGUUCUUAUCAUAUCGGUUAUUUCUUGUUAUUCAGACACAUGUAUUUCAUCUUUCAGACUCGUACUUGAUUUUGUUAGAUGCUCUAUACUCGUGACCCCGAGUCUUGGGAAUACUUGUUCAGUUGUGGUUUUCUAUUCGUACAUUUACCGUUUUCAGUGAUUGGGAGCUUAUUCUUAAAAGUUGACCUGUCUCCUUAAUUUCUUCGCAUUUGGGGUUGGUUCUUUGUUUUUAUAAGGUGUUGGUCGGGCUUGCCUAGCCUCGUGGCAGGGCUCCAUCAUGACCGGGUUUGGGGUCGUGACAGAUCCACCUUCGAAUAGGAUAUUAUAGGUUCAUCUGCCUUCGAAUAGGAUAUUAUAGGCUCAUCCGCCUUCGAAUAGGAUAUUAUAGGCUAUCCACCUUCGAAUAGGAUAUUAUAGGUUCAUCCGCCUUCGAAUAGGAUAUUAUAGGUUCAUCCGUCUUCGAAUAGGAUAUUAUAGGUUGUCCACCUUCGAAUAGGAUAUUAUAGGUUGUCCACCUUCGAAUAGGAUAUUAUAGGUUGUCCGCCUUCGAAUAGGAUAUUAUAGGUUUGUCCACCUUCGAAUAUGAUAUUAUAGGUUCAUCCACCUUCGAAUAGGAUAUUAUAGGUUCAUCCGCCUUCGAAUAAGAUAUUAUAGGUUCAUCUACCUUCGAAUAGGAUAUUAUAGGUUCAUCCGCAUUCGAAUAGGAUAUUAUAGGUUCAUACGCCUUCGAAUAGGAUAUUAUAGGUUGUCCACCUUCGAAUAGGAUAUUAUAGGUUGGUCCACCUUCGAGUAAGAUAUUAGGUUCAUCCGCCUUCGAAUAGGAUAUUAUAGGUUUGUCCACCUUCGAACAGGAUACUAUAGGUUUGUCCACCUUCGAAUAGGAUAUUAUAGGUUUGUCCUCCUUCGAACAUGAUAUUCGAAUAGGAUAUUAUAGGUUCAUCCGCCUUCGAAUAGGAUAUUAAAGUUGUUGAUGAAGUCAGGAGACCGUCUGUAGAAUGGAGGAAUAUUUUCAAAGUCAAAUUAGAAGAAGAUGAUGCAGAGGGUUACAACAAAGGCCCCAACAUAACAAAUGGUGAUGAAACAAAGCCGUCUUCCUAGUGGAAUUGCCAAGAAACAUAAUGAGGGAACCAUAUCCCCAGCAGACCAAGCAAAAAUCAAUGAAAACUAGUGUUCAGACAGGCAGAAGGUCAGUUCCAUCCCCAAGAUCUCAGAAGAAAAAAGCAUCGGAAGAAACACAAGCUGACAAAAAAGCAAGGCCAACAAAAACAAAUUGAAGAUAGAUAGGAUCUUGUGAUCCGUAGGCUAGCCUAGCUUCUUGUUUUUCUCUUUAAUACGGUGUAAUAAGGAGAUCGGUAAAUCAGUAGUAACAGCAUGCAGCAGCAGUAACAACAAAUUGCAGGCCCAUGGUAGUCCCAGCUUCCACAAUUUCCCGAACUACACUGACCUGAUUCCCUUUUAUCCAGGCAUAUGUAGGAAACCAUUGAAGCAAAUGUCCGGUCAAAUCUUUCAAAAAAUGCUUCACACAGAGUUCUCAAACGGGCAAAAAUCGCUCGUAUCUGCUCACUUUAUCUUUACACGAAAACUCUUCGUGUUUUCAGACAAAUAGGGGCAGCUGUGAGCACGUGAUUUUUGCCUCAAAUGAAUUACUCCCACAAAAUCAAAACAAAAUUGUCUAUUUUAUUGUGUGCUUUCGAGAAUUUUUCGUUAUAUUUUAUUAAUUGUUUGCAAUGGUGUGUGCAUAUUUAUUUGUUUAAAUUAAUAGAUAAAAUUACAAAAAAUAUAUCGCAUUUGCAUUUGGGAUUUAAUUUUGUAAUUAAGAGUGAUUAAGUUGGUUUUACUAAAAUGAAAAAUCACAAAAAAAUAUGCAUCUUUUGCAUUUUUAGCCUUUAAUGUCCAAUUUACGUGAUUGUGUUUUAAUUGUUAUUUAAUUUUAAACAAUAAUUAUUAAUUAGUAUUUUAAGAUAAUUUUGGGUUUUAUAAUUUAAUCUUAGCAUUUUAGUUUUAUUAAUUAUUAAAAAAAAGAGAACAAAAAAUAGAAGAAAACUUGGUUUGGGCCAAUUUUCGGAAUUAAAAUUAGGCCCAAAACACUUUUACCCAACCCAAAAUAAUACCAAGCCCACAUCCCAUGAUCCAAAACACCCAACGACCAAGUACAAUAUCCCAUAACCCGACCCAUUUUCCUACCUAAAAUUUUAACCUAGACCUAAAAUACAACAUUUCUUCUUCAGCCGCAAUCCAAACAACCCCCCUCUUUUCAUCUUCCUCCACACACCCCCCCAAAUCCUAAACCACCAUCUCCUUGAACCAAACACCACCCUCCAUCACCAUCGUCCUCAACCUCCAGCUUGUCCAAACAGCCAUGGCCGUCACCAACGUCGCUGCUUGCCAUCAUCACCAACAUCGCUGCCUGCUUCUUCGUCGCCGCUGCCAUGGCCGGUUUCGUCCAGCGUUCAUCGUCUUCGGCCAUAGUCGUUGGCAUCGAUGGCCAUUGCUAUCGUUCUUCUUCUUCAUCCUUGAAGAAGAAAACGAAAAGCUGAUAAAUUGCACGCCUGAAACAAGUAUUCCGUCGAAUCUAGUUGAGCAGCAGCGAGAAACUCCCUAGCUUCUGCUUCAUGUCAUCUCUCCCAUCGUCGUCCAAUUCAUGGCCUAGUUCGUCGAGGUCAUUCGUCGUCAACUCCAGGUUUAUUAGUUGAUUAUUAGUUCCGUUCGAGUUCAAAAAUAGGAGAAUCGAGGUCGUUGUUGAUUUGGGCAGAUUCGAGUUAUUUUGGGUUUUAGAUUUUCCGGGCAUAUUUGUUUCCAUUCGAGUUCGU